GCAGAUGUGGUGGAAUUGGCAGACACGCCAGAUUUAGGUUCUGGUGCGAGAGCGUAUGGGUUCAAGUCCCUUCAUCUGUACCA
rnacentral:tRNA from 2 species